UACGUAGGGGGCAAGCGUUGUCCGGAUUUAUUGGGCGUAAAGCGCGUGUAGGCGGCCAGAUAGGUCUGCUGUGAAAACUCGAGGCUCAACCUCAAGCUGUCGGCGGAAACCAUCUGGCUAGAGUCCGGAAGAGGAGAGUGGAAUUCCUGGUGUAGCGGUGAAAUGCGCAGAUAUCAGGAAGAACACCGGUGGUGUAGACGGCUUUCUGGACCGUAACUGACGCUGAGACACGAAAGCGUGGGUAGCAAACAGG
rnacentral:rRNA from 1 species